rnacentral:rRNA from 1 species
UGGCGGACGGGUGAGUAACACGUGAGCAACCUGCCCUUGACUCUGGGAUAACAGUUGGAAACAGCUGCUAAUACCGGAUACGACCUUCGAUGACAUCAUCUGGAGGUGGAAAGCGCUUUAGCGGUCAAGGAUGGGCUCGCGGCCUAUCAGCUAGUUGGUGAGGUAACGGCCUACCAAGGCAAAGAUGGUUAGCUGGUCUGAGAGGACGGCCAGCCACACUGGAACUGCGACACGGUCCAGACUCCUACGGGAGGCAGCAGUGGGGAAUCUUGCGCAAUGGGCGAAAGCCUGACGCAGCAACGCCGCGUGGGUGAUGAAGGCCUUCGGGUCGUAAAGCCCUGUCGGGAGGAACGAAUGACUCUAGGGUGAACAAUCCUAGGGAGUGACGGUACCUCCAAAGGAAGCACCGGCUAACUCCGUGCCAGCAGCCGCGGUAAU